rnacentral:rRNA from 1 species
CUACGGGCGGCUCCAGUGGGGAAUAUUGCACAAUGGGCGCAAGCCUGAUGCAGCCAUGCCGCGUGUAUGAAGAAGGCCUUCGGGUUGUAAAGUACUUUCAGCGGGGAGGAAGGGAGUAAAGUUAAUACCUUUGCUCAUUGACGUUACCCGCAGAAGAAGCACCGGCUAACUCCGUGCCAGCAGCCGCGGUAAUACGGAGGGUGCAAGCGUUAAUCGGAAUUACUGGGCGUAAAGGGCACGCAGGCGGUUUGUUAAGUCAGAUGUGAAAUCCCCGGGCUCAACCUGGGAACUGCAUCUGAGACUGGCAAGCUUGAGUCUCGUAGAGGGGGGUAGAAUUCCAGGUGUAGCGGUGAAAUGCGUAGAGAUCUGGAGGAAUACCGGUGGCGAAGGCGGCCCCCUGGACGAAGACUGACGCUCAGGUGCGAAAGCGUGGGGAGCAAACAGGAUUAGAUACCCGGGUAGUC